ACGAACGCUGGCGGCGUGCCUAAUACAUGCAAGUCGAACGGUCUUUCUAUGGAAGCUUGCUUCCACUGAGAAGGUAGUGGCGAACGGGUGAGUAACACGUGGGUAACCUGCCCAUAAGAGGGGGAUAACAUCCGGAAACGGGUGCUAAUACCGCAUAGUUUUCUUGAUCGCAUGAUUGAGAAAGGAAAGACGGCCUUUGUGCUGUCGCUUAUGGAUGGACUCGCGGCGUAUUAGUUAGUUGGUGAGGUAACGGCUCACCAAGACGAUGAUACGUAGCCGACCUGAGAGGGUGAUCGGCCACAUUGGGACUGAGACACGGCCCAAACUCCUACGGGAGGCAGCAGUAGGGAAUCUUCCGCAAUGGACGAAAGUCUGACGGAGCAACGCCGCGUGAGUGAAGAAAGGUUUUCGGAUCGUAAAACUCUGUUGUCAGAGAAGAACAAGUUGGAGAGUAACUGCUCCAGCCUUGACGGUAUCUGACCAGAAAGCCACGGCUAACUACGUGCCAGCAGCGGC
rnacentral:rRNA from 1 species